CCUACGGGAGGCAGCAGUGAGGAAUAUUGGUCAAUGGCCGGAAGGCUGAACCAGCCAUGCCGCGUGAAGGUCAGUGCCCUAUGGGCGUUAAACUUCUUUUGUGCGGGAGCAAUAAUGGUCACGUGUGGCCAGACGAGAGUACCGUACGAAUAAGUAUCGGCUAACUCCGUGCCAGCAGCCGCGGUAAUACGGGGGAUGCAAGCGUUAUCCGGAUUUAUUGGGUUUAAAGGGUGCGUAGGCUGUGAGGUAAGUCAGCGGUGAAAUGCCCCCGCUCAACGGGGUGAAGUGCCAUUGAUACUGCCUGGCUGGAAUGCGGAUGCGGUGGGAGGAAUGUGUGGUGUAGCGGUGAAAUGCAUAGAUAUCACACAGAACACCGAUUGCGAAGGCAUCUCACGAAUCCGCGAUUGACGCUGAUGCACGAAAGCGUGGGUAUCAAACAGGAUUAGAUACCCGAGUAGUC
rnacentral:rRNA from 1 species